rnacentral:rRNA from 1 species
UACGUAGGGGGCAAGCGUUGUCCGGAAUCAUUGGGCGUAAAGAGCGUGUAGGCGGCCAGGUAGGUCGGUUGUGAAAACUGGAGGCUCAACCUUCAGAGGUCGACCGAAACCAUCUGGCUAGAGUCCGGGAGAGGAGAGUGGAAUUCCUGGUGUAGCGGUGAAAUGCGCAGAUAUUAGGAAGAACACCAGUGGCGAAGGCGGCUCACUGGUCCGGUACUGACGCUGAGGUGCGAAAGCGUGGGGAGCAAACAGG